GAUGAACGCUGGCGGCGUGCCUAAUACAUGCAAGUCGAGCGAACGGACGAGAAGCUUGCUUCUCUGAUGUUAGCGGCGGACGGGUGAGUAACACGUGGAUAACCUACCUAUAAGACUGGGAUAACUUCGGGAAACCGUAGCUAAUACCGGAUAAUAUUUUGAACCGCAUGGUUCAAAAGUGAAAGACGGUCUUGCUGUCACUUAUAGAUGGAUCCGCGCUGCAUUAGCUAGUUGGUAAGGUAACGGCUUACCAAGGCAACGAUGCAUAGCCGACCUGAGAGGGUAAUCUGCAACACUGGAACUGAGACACGGUCCAAACUCCUGCGAGAGACAGCAGUAGGGAAUCUUCCGCAAUGGGCGAAAGCCUGACAAAGCAACGCCGCGUGAGUGAUGAAGGUCUUCGGAUCGUAAAACUCUGUUAUUAGGGAGGAACAUAUGUGUAAGUAACUGUGCACAUCUUGACGGUACCUAAUCAGAAAGCCACGGCUAACUACGUG
rnacentral:rRNA from 1 species